ensembl:misc_RNA Metazoa_SRP Metazoan signal recognition particle RNA
GCCGGGUGUGGUGGUGCGCACCUGUAAUCCCAGCUACUUGGGAGGCUGAGGCACAAGAAUCGAUUGAACCCGGGAGGCGGAAGUUGCAGUGAGCUGAGAUCACACCACUGCACUUCAGCCUGGGUGACAGAGCAAGACUCUGCCUCAA